GCCCUGCGCGGGUGGCAGUUCUUUCCCUUCUAGGGCAACACCUCUUUCGGUGGCAACGACUUCUCCAUAUUUCCACGCAGUCAUUUUUAUAAAUUAAGAGCUGGGCGCACACCAUUUCACCUUUCUGCACUCUUUGGCCAUGAUGUCUAGCUUCCUUGUUUUGUUUUAAUGUCGUGUGUCUGUGUGUGUGUGUGCGUGUGUGUGUGUGUGUGUGUGUUUGUCAGAAGCAGCUGUCCCUGCCAAAAAAUAUUUAUUUACGCGGUCACAUUUUUGUUGAGCGUCUGUGUAUGGUUCGCCAGCCACACCACGCUUCUGUUCUGUGUGUAACACAGGACCAUCUGCUCACCUGCUGGUGGACAACGGGCCACGGAAGCCACGGGUCCUUCGUUCAUUCAACAACUUUUCUCCUGUCUACUUAGCACGGGCGAGGAAGUGUGUUCCUCCCAGGGCUGCCAAUACAGAGGCAGCUGAGACAUGAUCCCGGCCCUUAAAAGCGCCACAAUCCAGCCGGGUAAGUAAAACGCAUCUGAACUGUAGAUUUCUAAAGAUUCUAAAGAUUUCUAAAUUGUAAUAAAUAUGAAUUUAACUUGGGGAGUCAGUUCUUUUGCUUUUGCAUCCUUCUGAGGGGUCUCCCAGAAAGCGAUUUCACAGCCAUGAUGCUGAUCCUGAAGUCCACUUUGUGAAAGUGCUGACUUACAUUUCCAGAAGGGAGAAGAGCCAUUUAAAUAAGGAGGUAUCUUCUGCGUGACUGAAAGAAAACUAUGUAACCAAAUUAAAUUAAAAUGAAAGACCCCAUGAGGCUGGGCUUGAUCCAUUCCCUAGCAGAUUCCAUCCAUGGUAGGUUGUAACUUACUUUUUUUAAAAAGUGAAUCUCAUGUAUGCAGUCUGUAUGCCCAACACAACAGCUAUUUUUUCUGAAACGCAGAUCAUCAUACAUUUUGUGCCUCUACCACCACCACCAGCAUAUACAGCUAGGAAACCAGACUUAUUAGAAGAGAUACCAAUAAAAGUCAGCCUUGGAACCACACUGGAAGCGACCAUUUCAGCCCCGCUGAGGACGGACCGACAUCCACCUAUAAAGAUGCUAGAGGAACAGACGACUUUCCUAAGCAGACAUCUACUCCCAAGAUUCUAUGGACCGGAAACAUCAGGUGUAGGGUCACUUUCUCCAAACUAAUUUGUACUCAGACUCACGUCUCAUUUUGUUUAUACUGUGUCUGAAAAAUUAUUGCCAGGGUCCGAAUUCUUUGUGGUUAGGUUUCUGUUUUACCUGUGCCGAUUCUUGUUCAGGCUGUUUCCUGCAUAGAUUGUGAUCAUUGGCGGGAAGUUCACAUUCAUUAGAACUUGGUGGGAAUUUCUGAGGCUUGUGUUGGGAGAAACCUUCCUCCAGUGAAAAUGUGUUUACUUCCUACCAGGCAUCUGCGGAACUACCAACCCAAGUACAUGUUGUAUUAGCAGCAUGCAGUCUUUCUAAACACGCCCACUGGAUGAACUCAGGCCACCAACUGGCAGAAGGGCUGGCCCUGGGCCACCGCUCUCAGAGAUACGUUGUCCCCCCAUCAGAAAACAGCAAGUCAGACAAGUUUCUCUGCUCUCUGCCUUUUGAGACGUCCUCAUGCCUCACCCCUGCUCCCUGGCCACCUGUCAGCUCCGCAUCGCUCAGAAAGCAGGUCAAGACUCUUCCAGAAAACUUGCAGGCGAACUCCUAGUGCGCCCUUUGUUGUAUCCCUGCUGCUGUACCUGUUGUUGUGCUGACACAGCGUCCUGCCCCCACUUAUCUGGUGUCCUGAUUAGACUAUGAACCCCUUUUAAGUACCUUCCACACGGACUCGUACGUCCCGGUCCUUCCUGCCUCCAUCCUCUCACACGUCUUCUGCCUCUGGCUUAUCAACCUUGCGCACGCCAGCCCGGGUCUCUCGGAAGCCCAGUUCUGGCCAGGCCUGCUGACCCUCAGAACCCUCCAGCGAGAAGCCCUGCCUCACUUUCCCCUGCUGAGCCAGCGGCCCCCGCAGCCAGGGCCCUUCCGCCCAUCAGCUCAGCUGGGACCUCGGGCAGGCAGCAGCCCGCCGGCCUGAGCUCCGACUUCUCCCUCGCCAUCGAAUGAAGCCUGUUAGCACUAGACGCCUCUCCAGACCCAACCUGCGGUCUGCCGGUGUUGGUGACAGCCGCGGGGCCCCCCACUCUGCCCAGUUCCUGCCCUCCCCUCUAGCUGACAGCCCCGGUGUUCCGGGGGCUGGGGAAGAGAGGAAUGGCAGGAAGGGGGAACCAUUGUCUACAGAGACUUUAAGGCCAAUGAUAAAAAUGACUAAAGGUCAGUCUGCUUUUUAUGAUCAUCAUGAACCAGAAAUUUUUUUUUAAUGUCUACUUAUUUUUGAGAAAAAAAGAACUCACGCAAGAAUGGACAGGGAUAGAGAGAGA